AAGGGCAGGCAGGCGCGAGACUGGAUUGUCGCGUGCAAGCGUGUAGGGUAGUGUACAGGCAAAUCCGUACACUGAGAGCCUGAGGCGUUACGCGGAGCGAGCAGAGAUGCGAGCGAAGCUGCUGAUCCCACACUGUCGAGAAAAGCUUCUAGUGAGAGAGCUGCCGCCCGUACCGUAAACCGACACAGGUAUGCGGGGAGAGAAUCCUAAGGUGCGCGGGAGAACCCUCGUUAAGGAACUCGGCAAAAUGUACCCGUAACUUCGGGAUAAGGGUAGCCGUCUUGGUGAAGGAGCAUGCCUCUGGAGCUAAAGGCGGUCGCAGAGAAGAGGCCCAAGCGACUGUUUACCACAAACACAGGUGCCUGCUAAAGCGAAAGCUGACGUAUAGGUGCUGACACCUGCCCAGUGCUGGAAGGUUAAGGAAGGAUGUCCGGGCAACCAAAGCAUUCGACCGAAGCCCCAGUGAACGGCGGCCGUAACUAUAACGGUCCUAAGGUAGCGAAAUUCCUUGUCGGGUAAGUUCCGACCCGCACGAAAGGUGUAACGAUUUGGGCACUGUCUCAACGAGGGACCCGGUGAAAUUGAAAUACCUGUGAAGAUGCAGGUUACCCGCGACUGGACAGAAAGACCCCAUGGAGCUUUACUGUAACCUGACAUUGGGUUUUGUUGUAUUACGUACAGGAUAGGUGGGAGGCUUGGAAGGCUGGACGCUAGUCUGGCUGGAGCCGGCGUUGGGAUACCACCCUUGAUACAACGGAAUUCUAACCGAGAGAGUAACGAAAUCCGGGACAGUGUCAGGCGGGCAGUUUGACUGGGGCGGUCGCCUCCGAAAGAGUAACGGAGGCGCCCAAAGGUUCCCUCAGCGCGGCCGGAAAUCGCGCGAAGAGUGUAAAGGCAGAAGGGAGCUUGACUGCGAGCCAAACACGGCGAGCAGGUACGAAAGUAGGGCUUAGUGAUCCGGUGGUACCGAGUGGAAGGGCCAUCGCUCAACGGAUAAAAGCUACCCUGGGGAUAACAGGCUAAUCUCUCCCAAGAGUCCAUAUCGACGGGGAGGUUUGGCACCUCGAUGUCGGCUCAUCACAUCCUGGGGCUGAAGUCGGUCCCAAGGGUUGGGCUGUUCGCCCAUUAAAGUGGUACGUGAGCUGGGUUCAGAACGUCGUGAGACAGUUCGGUCCCUAUCCAUCGCGGGCGCAAGAGAUUUGAAGGGGUCUGCUCCUAGUACGAGAGGACCGGAGUGGACGGACCGCUGGUGUACCAGUUAUUCCGCCAGGAGUACAGCUGGGUAGCUACGUCCGGACUGGAUAAACGCUGAAAGCAUCUAAGCGUGAAGCCAUCCUUAAGAUGAGAUCUCUCACAGAGUAAUCUGGUAAGACACCUUAAAGAAGAUGAGGUAGAUAGGCCGGGAGUGUAAGUGCAGCAAUGUAUUGAGCUGACCGGUACUAAUAUGUCGAGGGCUUGACUU
rnacentral:rRNA from 1 species